rnacentral:misc_RNA from 1 species
GAAGCACAAAACCUGCGUCACUUGAUGAAGGAGAAGAAACAUACUUUCAAGAACACAAAAGAUACUACAAAUGCUCAUAUUGCAAAAUUCCAACAGGAGAAAAAAAAAUUAAAUAAAAAAUUCACACUAGUCUUCUACAAUUUAAUCAACACGAAGGAAAUAUUUCUAUCUAAAGAUCUUAUAUUCUCCAGUCCCUGACAUCCUUUUUUCCACAAAUGGUCCACAUAAAAAGUGCUUGCAAUCCUAAUGAAUAUUUAAUCCAAGAACAUGUGGAGUUCUUCACUUCUUCCUACUCUUCUUCUUCCUAGAGGCAAAGCUGCUGGGUCCAAUUUCAAUUGACAUUCUUUUUGUCCUGGAAAGUAGAAAAUGUGAAGGGUAGUUUCAAGAGCAAGAUUAAGUCUCAACAAAUAAAGAAAGAUAAAGAAGACAAAAUAAAAUAAGAUAGCAAUAUACCGCUUAGAGAGCUCUUCUGACUCCUUGCCAUUUUCUUCAACUAUAUCAUCUGAUGAGAAAAAUGUUGUCAGAUUACAAAUAUCAGGUAGGCGCCACAGUAUAUCUUUUUUUUAAUGCAUGCAUUAAGAAAACAAGGAGAAAUGAACAUCAUCAUGAGCAAGAUUUCGUCAAGUAAACUAGGAUGAGCUGGUCUAGCAACUAGACAAAAGUGAUUUUUAUCUUCCCACUAAGAAAAUUUGUUUGAUUGUAUAUACUUCAACCAAAUUCUAUCACUAUAGUAAUAUUUGGAUACCUCCAAAUAUAGGUCCAGGUAUCAAUGAAAAAAAAUCAGAUUUCAUAUUAGGAAAUUUUGCAUGUACAUCAUCAGAAUUACUUACAAAUUCUGGGUAUAAUUACUCCCAGGACAUAUUUUCACCAUCAUUUGGAUCUUCUAUUUUUCUCAUAAUCCUGCUAAUUGGUUACAUAAAAGUAGAAUAGGCAACACAAAAUAUUGAUGCCUAGGUCAAAGUGGAGAUAAACAUAGAAAGUAGCAAACCUGCUUCAUUUUCUCCAUCACUUUCCUGCCCUGACUCUCCACCAGAACCCCAUCGAUCUCCUCUGUCAUCAAAGUCCCAACGAUCUCCCACAGGUGGCAUCCAAAAGUCAUCUCCUUCAGAAUCACUGUUCUUAUCAGAAGAAUUCCUUAGUUCAGAAAUGAUUUCCUUAACCUGCUUUCUCUCGUUUUCCUUCUUUUUCUUCUGACCAUCCAU